GGAGAGAGUGCCUCGCAAGAGGAGCCUGGUGACAGGUGCUGCAUGGCUGUCGUCAGCUCGUGUCGUGAGAUGUUGGUUAAGUCCCGCAACGAGCGCAACCCCUAUCUUAGUUGCCAUCAUUGGAGUUGGGCACUCUAAAGAGACUGCCGGUGUCAAACCGGAGGAAGGUGGGGGAUGACGUCAAGUCCUCAUGGCCUUUAUGACCAGGGCUACACACGUACUACAAUGGCCGGUACAAAGGGCAGCGACACAGCGAUGUGAAGCCAAAUCCCGAAAAGACCGGUCUCAGUCCGGAUUGGAGUCUGCAACUCGACUCCAUGAAGUUGGAAUCGCUAGUAAUCGCGGAUCAGCACGCCGCGGUGAAUACGUUCCCGGGCCUU
rnacentral:rRNA from 1 species